CGCUGUAUGAUCUUGAAAAAGUUUCAAGAUCUAACCCUGAAACCCUAGAUCUGGUUCCUACAUUACUGUUAUGUGUUCAGAACAUAUUAUCUUUGUACGGGUAGUUGAUCGCCGCAGUCUGAUCACCGUUGGGAAGGUUCGAUCAUUGCAAUGCAGCCACACAGUGUGUCUAGCCUCUACGGAUCGUCCACACAAAGCUUCCAGUCUGAUCGGCUCCUCACGAAUGCUAGUUCGUUGCAGAACCCUUUCGACGGCCGAUAUUGAUCGAACUCCUUCGAUCUUGAUCUGCCGACUCCUCGAAUGCUUCGAAUCAUCAACAGAUGUACUUGAG
rnacentral:lncRNA from 1 species